UAGGGCCUUAGCUUAAUUAAAGCGAUNGAGUUGCAGUCAGUAGAUGUAAAUUAUAGUUUNGCAGGUCUU
rnacentral:tRNA from 1 species